GUAGGUUAUGGGGACAUAUAUCCACAAACUCUUCUUGGUAAAAUAGUCGGCGGGCUCUGCUGUAUUGCAGGUGUAUUGGUCAUUGCAUUGCCCAUCCCCAUCAUUGUGAACAAC
rfam:Salmo salar isolate Sally breed double haploid chromosome ssa14, whole genome shotgun sequence.